GGAAGGAUGACCUGGCGCCUGAAUUCUAGUGCUUCCGAGCCGCUGCGCGAGACUUCCUGUGGGUAUUGGGGUAGGGCAGUGAAUGGUAACAUCCGUGGAAACAGGGAUCUUAUUGGAUUCAUUUACCAAUGAAAUAGCUUAUGUCGAACAGUGCUUGGCCCAAGGAGCUCACUCAGCCUGCAAAGAACAAAAAGGCUAAGAUGGAACUCCUCCUGCCUGACUGCUUUAGAGCUGGGAUCUAAGUUUUUCCCUACCUUGAACUGAAAUAUCACUUUUCCUGUGUUUUGAGUCUGCUGAAAUUUGGACUGAAACUAGACCAUCGGCCCUCCUGGUCUCCAGGAGUAUGUAUUACCGCAGAGUUGGAGACAAGAACUGUGUGCAAUGCGAGCCUGAAUGACUCUGAAUCAUUAUGAAAUUAUUCUCUCAAAUGAAGACUUGUAGCUGAGACUGUGUUUAGUGAACUGUGAGGUGGAUUCUCUAACUUCCAUGGAGAAUAAAAUGCUUAUUGCAGAGUUAAGUUAUCCCAAGUGAGUCCAAUUAAGGAAAUCUCAUGUGAAUCUCCCUAAAUUGUGACCAGAAAUAUCUAAGAAGGUUCUUUGGGAUUUUGGAGCCUUCCUCCUUGACUUGAUUGUAUUUGAAGUUUUGCCACAAUGAAAAAUGAAGACCUCUGUUUUGGGGCAAAGUUGCAGAGCUACAUCAUGACUCUUGGUUUCAUUUAAGACAAGGAGGCCUUUCUGGAAAUCAAGGCAUGCCUGGCCCUACUCAUUAAUUAAGCACACAGCUGGGAGUGGAUGGGGGCCAAAGCCUAGAACUUGCCCCUCCUCCUUGUGCUCCUAUCUCAGGAGCAGUGUAUUUUGCUGGUGUGGUCCCCACUGCUGGGAUUCCUGAACCCUUGCCCAGAGGAUUUCAGAAGGCAGCCUUUGCAUGCAUGUUCUAAGGUAGGAUUUAUUUAAUUUCUUUUGAACUGGUGAGCACUGUAUUGAGAAGUAGAGUUAGACUAUUUCUAACGUCAGGGGAAAUGAGAGUCAAUUUCAUAUUGUCCCAGUUGAUGGCAAACACUGAUAUCGACCUUCAAGGAAGGAAACCAAAUGUAAAUGGAAGUACUAAUGCAGAAAAUUGUCUCACUUUAAAAACAUGUAGGUAACUGCUGCUCCUUUCUUAAAAUAUUUUUCCCUUUCUUUAAAGUCAGCUAUUGUUUCAAAUGCCGUUUGCUGAGUAGUUUUUUGGUUAAUAUGAUAGACUAAGAUGGUGAUGGGGGGAAAGUCAAGCUGCAGUUUGAAUAGCCAAGCCUCAUUGUUGGUUGCUAGGAAUAACUAUGGCAUGCAGUUUGUUUAAAGUAGGAGUUUCUAAUCUCUUAAUAUUAAGUGAAGUCUUAGGUUAUCAGAAGAGGGGAGUAUAUGUGUGCACCUGUGUGUAUAUGCAGACUGGGGACAUUGCAGCCGCUCUAGAGGUAGGAGGGGAGGAGAAAGAACACUAUCAAAAGAGGUAGAUAUGAUAAAGAGCAAAGAGCCUGUCUUGUCUGUGACCUCCCCACCUCCUCAACUUCUCCAUUUCAGGUCCUGU